rnacentral:rRNA from 1 species
UGGGGAAUAUUGCACAAUGGGGGGAACCCUGAUGCAGCAACGCCGCGUGAAGGAUGAAGGUUCUCGGAUCGUAAACUUCUAUCAGUAGGGAAGAAAAAAAUGACAGUACCUAACUAAGAAGCCCCGGCUAACUACGUGCCAGCAGCCGCGGUAAUACGUAGGGGGCAAGCGUUAUCCGGAUUUACUGGGUGUAAAGGGUGCGUAGGUGGCAUGGUAAGUUAGAUGUGAAAGCCCAAGGCUCAACCUUGGGAUUGCAUCUAAAACUGCCAAGCUAGAGUGCAGGAGAGGAAAGUGGAAUUCCUAGUGUAGCGGUGAAAUGCGUAGAUAUUAGGAGGAACACCAGUAGCGAAGGCGACUUUCUGGACUGUAACUGACACUGAGGCACGAAAGCGUGGGUAGCAAACAGG